rnacentral:rRNA from 1 species
UACGUAGGGGGCAAGCGUUGUCCGGACUUACUGGGCGUAAAGCGUGCGCAGGCGGUUUUGUAAGCCAGAUGUGAAAUCCCCGGGCUUAACCUGGGAAUGGCAUUUGGGACUGCAAGGCUUGAGUGCGGCAGAGGAGACUGGAAUUCCUGGUGUAGCAGUGAAAUGCGUAGAUAUCAGGAGGAAUACCGAUGGCGAAGGCAGGUCUCUGGGCUGACACUGACGCUCAUGCACGAAAGCGUGGGGAGCAAACAGG